rnacentral:hammerhead_ribozyme from 1 species
AUCCAGCUGACGAGUCCAAAAAUAGGAUGAAACGCGCGAUCUAGAU